AUUGAACGCUGGCGGCAUGCCUUACACAUGCAAGUCGAACGGCAGCACGGGUGCUUGCACCUGGUGGCGAGUGGCGAACGGGUGAGUAAUACAUCGGAACGUACCUUAUCGUGGGGGAUAACGCAGCGAAAGCUGUGCUAAUACCGCAUACGCCCUGAGGGGGAAAGCGGGGGGUCGAAAGACCUCGCGCGAUUAGAGCGGCCGAUGCCUGAUUAGCUUGUUGGUGGGGUAAAAGCCCACCAAGGCGACGAUCAGUAGCUGGUCUGAGAGGACGAUCAGCCACGCUGGGACUGCGACACGGCCCAGACUCCUCCGGGAGGCAGCAGUGGGGAAUUUUGGACAAUGGGGGCAACCCUGAUCCAGCAAUGCCGCGUGAGUGAAGAAGGCCUUCGGGUUGUAAAGCUCUUUUGUCAGGGAAGAAACACCGGCUCUAACACAGUCCGGGAAUGACGGUACCCAAAGAAUAAGCACCGGCUAACUUCGUGCCAGCCGCCGCCGUAA
rnacentral:rRNA from 1 species